GGAUGUGGUGGGCUGAAUCACGACGGUGUGUCGCAUUUUAGAUUUCUGGGAGGAUUGACAGAUUGAGAGCUCUUUCUUGAUUCGGUGGAUGGUGGUGCAUGUCCGGUCUUAAUUGGUGGAGCAAUUUGGCGGGUCAAUUCCGAUAACGAAGGAAACUCUAGUCUAUUAAACAGGUGCGUGGUUCUUUGCACCUUGCACCCUUCUUAGAGGGACAAGCGGCUCCUAGCCGCACAAAACAGAGCAAUAACAGGUCUGUGAUGCCCUUAGAUGUCCGGGGCCGCACGCGCGUUAC
rnacentral:rRNA from 1 species